GUGAUUUUGGGGUUUUGGGAAGUUCAACCUCCAUGGGAGCUUGAGGAACACUCCUUGCUUGGUUGUGUGACCAUUGGUGGAUUGAGACAUUUGGACCAACCGUGAGUGAUCAACCAUUGGAGCAAGCUAUGGAGCUUGAAUAGCUCAUUGGAAUUGGUGUUGGUUUUGGAGUAGAGUAUUGUUGACAUUGGUG